GGGCAUGUGGUGUAACUGGUAACACCCGGGGUUCUUAGUAUCUGGCACCCGGAAUAGUCGGUUCGACUCCGACCGUGUCCA